rnacentral:rRNA from 1 species
GACGAACGCUGGCGGCGUGCCUAAUACAUGCAAGUAGAACGCUGAAGGAGGAGUUUGCUUCUCUGGAUGAGUUGCGAACGGGUGAGUAACGCGUAGGUAUCCUGCCCGGUUGCGGGGGAUAACUAUUGGAAACGAUAGCUAAUACCGCAUAAGAUUCGAUGUUGCAUGACAUUUGCUUAAAAGUUGCAAUUGCAUCACUACCAGUUGCACCUGCGUUGUAUUAGCUAGUUGGUGGGGUAACGGCUCACCAAGGCGAAGAUACAUAGCCGGCGAGGAAAGGGGAUAGGCAAAACUGGGAAUGAGAAACAGCGCAGGCGCCCAAGGGAGGCAGCAAGAGGGAAAGUUUGGCAAUGGAGGGAAGGCUGAACGAAGAAAGCAGCGUGAGGGAAGAAGGGACUCGGAUCGUAAAGCACUGUUGUAAGGGAAGGAAGAGUGGGAGAGUGGAAAGUUCACACUGUGACGGUAUCUUACCAGAAAGGAACGGCUAACUACGUG